rnacentral:rRNA from 1 species
AUUGAACGCUGGCGGCAUGCCUUACACAUGCAAGUCGAACGGUAACAGGUCUUCGGAUGCUGACGAGUGGCGAACGGGUGAGUAAUACAUCGGAACGUGCCUAGUAGUGGGGGAUAACUACUCGAAAGAGUGGCUAAUACCGCAUGAGAUCUACGGAUGAAAGCAGGGGAUCGCAAGACCUUGUGCUACUAGAGCGGCCGAUGGCAGAUUAGGUAGUUGGUGGGAUAAAAGCUUACCAAGCCGACGAUCUGUAGCUGGUCUGAAAGGACGAUCAGCCACACUGGGACUGAGACACGGCCCAGCGUCCUACGGGAGGCAGCAGUGGGGAAUUUUGGACAAUGGGCGCAAGCCUGAUCCAGCAAUGCCGCGUGCAGGAUGAAGGCCUUCGGGUUGUAAACUGCUUUUGUACGGAACGAAAAGCCCUGGGUUAAUACCCUGGGGUCAUGACGGUACCGUAAGAAUAAGCACCGGCUAACUACGUGCCAGCAGCCGCCGUAA